UACAUCGGCACGCGUCGAGCGGCGCAUAGACGAGCUCUCUUCCCCGCUCCUCUCUCUCUCUCUCUCUCUCGGUUCGCUGAGAGACACAGAAAUUCCCCACUCCUCCCCCCCAAAUCUCAUGGACCAGUUGCGAUUAAGGAAGGGCGCGGCCGGCAGGGAACCGCCGCCGUGAUUGGGUGGGGUCGUCGAGGACCAUGGCGGCGUAGCAGGCCAUGUCCGGGCACCGGAUCGACAGGCUCUCGGCGUCAGAUCUACAAGCACCGGGCGCCAUCCCCGUCGGCGGCCCACACGUUGCCGCUCCAGCACCCGCGGCAGUACAAGUGGGCGCGCCCGACAGACCUCAUCUCGUCAGGGGCGUCCACGUCCAAGUAGAUGUCGCGGGCGAGGGGCGCGUCGUUGACGGCCAUAGAGACGACGAUGCCGUCUACGGGAAGGCCGACAACGUCGCGGACGUGCAGCUCGUCCGAGCACCACCGCUCCCAGACGCCUUGGGCGCUCCAUUUGAAGUGCCGGAGCAUGGCGUCGUCUUGGUCUUGGACGACAUGAGACAAAAUUUGCAGUGCAAGCGGGCAAAUUGUAUCCACCACUUAGGCAAUUUUCAGGGAAAUACUGGCUUGUGAUUGAUUCUACAACUGAACUGGACUGCAGUUGCUCUACAUCGAGAAUUGUUGGGGCCUCCAUUGUAGGGUGAUUGCUCAGCCCGUGUCAAGGAAUUGGAUGGAUGGAUGUUGGCUGAAGUGAAUUGGAUGGAUGUUGGCUGAAUUGCUCAGCCCGUGUCAAGGAAUCUUCAGACAAAAAGAUUGCUCAGCCCGUGUCAACUGAACUGAAUUGGAUGGAUGUUGGCUGCCGGCCGGCUGAUGUAGCAGGAAAGGAAAGUUCAAGCCGAGGUUGCACAUCAUGCAAUGCGCCGAUGAAGAAGCAACGGAUUUUCACUUGUACUCCUAGUAUUAUUGUUGGCCAAUUUACAGGGUGCGACGAUGAGGGAUGCACAAACAAGCUGUGGCCAGUGGGAGAGGCAAGGGGACCUGUUCACCGCUGCAAGAGGGAUGUCGAAGGAACCAAAAGUGGAAGCUAGCAUAGCGACACCAUGUUCUUUUGUCUUCAAGAGCAGGCCACUUUUACGUGUUGAAGGAACGAUGGAAGAAGGCAUGCCUUUUGUUGGGACAGAUGUGUUUUUCAAGUGUUUUGGGAUGGAAAAAUUCACCAAAAUAAGACUUUUAAGAUAGCAAUGUGUGUUCUAUUCCAGAAACUAAAAGUAGUAGUAUCAGCAAAUUCAUAUAACUAUUUUUGCUUUUUCUUUGGUCUUAUUCUACCAGCAGUAACAAAACUACUACUGUGUGUUUUUAUGAUUAUUUUUUACCUAGUCCUUACAAUUUUUCCCUUACUAUGUUUGUCUAUGACUAUUUUUUUGCUUCACCAUGGUUUUUCCCUUACUAUGUUUCUUUAGAGGAGAAAAGCUACGAAGAAACGUUAGUUUUUUUGUUUCAUUCAUUUUUUGCAGGACCCACAUACAAAAAUAUCAAAGCCAUGGAAGGCCUAGAGCAGCUACUCUCCAGGUGUAGUGCAAAAAAAAGAUACUAGUUGCCCAGGGACCAGGUGCUUUUUUCUCUUCGAUGGGUGGUCACACAAGACGAUGGGGUGGAAGAAGAAAGAAGAGGGAGAAGAAGAAGGGCGUGGGGACAGCUUGGGAGAGAAGAAGAAAGGAGAGAGGGGGCAAUGCUUUUGGUGAAGCGCGUGAAGGGAGGGAGAGAAGCUGGGUGGACGGAGGGACGUGGGAGACGGUGAACCCUUUCCUUUCCAAAUCUGGACU